GAUGAACGCUAUCUACAGGCUUAACACAUGCAAGUCGAGGGACCGGCGCACGGUUGAGUAACACUUAUCCAACCAUCCCUUUACUCGGCGAUAGCCUUUCGAAAGAACGAUUAAUACACGAUAUAAAGUAUUUGGAUGCGUUCCAUUAGGUUUUUGUUGAGGUAACGGCUCACCAAGCCUUCGAUGGAUAGGGGUUCUGAGAGGAAGGUCACCCACAUUGGAACUACGCCACGGUCCAAACUCGUACGGGAAGCAGGAGUGAGGAAGAUUGGGCAAUGGGCGCUGGCCUGAACCAGCCAAGUAGCGUGAAGAAUGAAGGCUGAUGGGUCGUAAACUUCUUUUAGAUAAGAAUAGGUAUUAUAUGAAUAAGGAUCGGCUAACUCCGUGCCAGCAGCCGCGGUAAUAC
rnacentral:rRNA from 1 species